GAAUGGUGAAGUCAGAAUUCAGCGGACUGACUAAGUUUCGAAAUUUUAACUUUUUGCAAUUCAGAUAUUAUGCAGAUAUUACAUGUUCAUGUUAAAUAACUAUAUUGUGUAAUUUACUGUACGUUUGUUGUAGUCGAAUGGUCAUAAAUACGUAUUGUCAUACUAAGGCUCGCGGGUUCAAUCAAACACGGGUUUUGAAUAAGAAUUAGGUACCCUUUUUUCUUCUUUUACCUAAAUAGGG